GGUUAAGUUAGAAAGAGCGCAUGGCGGAUGCCUAGGCACUAGGAGCCGAUGAAGGACGGGACUAACACCGAUAUGCUUCGGGGAGCUGUAAGCAAGCAUUGAUCCGGAGAUUUCCGAAUGGGGAAACCCACUGUUCUUAAUCGAACAGUAUCCAUUCUCUGAAUCCAUAGGAGAUGGAAGGCAGACCUGGGGAAUUGAAACAUCUUAGUACCCAGAGGAAGAGAAAGAAACAUCGAUUCCCUAAGUAGCGGCGAGCGAACCGGGAAGAGCCCAAACCAAGAGGCUUGCCUCUUGGGGUUGUAGGACACUUUAUAUAGAGUAAGAAAGGAAUGGAGUAGACGAAGCGGUCUGGAAAGGCCUGUCAUAGAAGGUAACAACCCUGUAGUCGAAACUUCGUUCCCUCUAAAGUGUAUCCUGAGUACGGCGGGACACGUGAAAUCCCGUCGGAAUCCGGGAGGACCAUCUCCCAAGGCUAAAUACUCCCUAGUGACCGAUAGUGAACCAGUACCGUGAGGGAAAGGUGAAAAGCACCCCGGGAGGGGAGUGAAAGAGAUCCUGAAACCGUGCGCUUACAAGUAGUCAGAGCACAUUAAUGUGUGAUGGCGUGCCUUUUGUAGAAUGAACCGGCGAGUUGCGAUUUUAUGCAAGGUUAAGUCAAAAAAGACGGAGCCGCAGCGAAAGCGAGUC
rnacentral:rRNA from 1 species